rnacentral:rRNA from 1 species
GACAGAGGGUGCAAACGUUGUUCGGAAUUACUGGGCGUAAAGCGCGUGUAGGCUGCUCGGAAAGUCGGAUGUGAAAGCCCUGGGCUCAACCUAGGAAGUGCAUUCGAAACUUCCGAGCUGGAGUGCUGGAGAGGAAGGCGGAAUUCUCGGUGUAGAGGUGAAAUUCGUAGAUAUCGAGAGGAACACCGGUGGCGAAGGCGGCCUUCUGGACAGUAACUGACGCUGAGACGCGAAAGCGUGGGGAGCAAACAGG